rnacentral:rRNA from 1 species
CUUAGGGAGGAGCUUGCGUCACAUUAGUUAGUUGGUGGGGUAAAGGCCUACCAAGACUAUGAUGUGUAGCCGGGCUGAGAGGUUGAACGGCCACAUUGGGACUGAGACACGGCCCAAACUCCUACGGGAGGCAGCAGUAGGGAAUUUUCGGCAAUGGAGGAAACUCUGACCGAGCAACGCCGCGUGAACGAUGAAGUAUUUCGGUACGUAAAGUUCUUUUAUUAGGGAAGAAUAAAUGAUGGAAAAAUCAUUCUGACGGUACCUAAUGAAUAAGCCCCGGCUAACUAUGUGCCAGCAGCCGCGGUAAUACAUAGGGGGCAAGCGUUAUCCGGAAUUAUUGGGCGUAAAGGGUGCGUAGGCGGUUAAAUAAGUUUAUGGUCUAAGUGCAAUGCUCAACAUUGUGAUGCUAUAAAAACUGUUUAGCUAGAGUAAGAUAGAGGCAAGUGGAAUUCCAUGNGUAGUGGUAAAAUGCGUAAAUAUAUGGAGGAACACCAGUAGCGAAGGCGGCUUGCUGGGUCUUUACUGACGCUGAGGCACGAAAGCGUGGGGAGCAAACAGGAUUAGAUACCCUGGUAGUCCACGCCGUAAACGAUGAGUACUAAACGUUGGGUAAAACCAGUGUUGAAGUUAACACAUUAAGUACUCCGCCUGAGUAGUACGUACGCAAGUAUGAAACUUAAAGGAAUUGACGGGACUCCGCACAAGCGGUGGAUCAUGUUGUUUAAUUCGAAGGUACCCGAAAAACCUCACCAGGUCUUGACAUGCUUCUGCAAAACUGUAGAAACACAGUGGAGGUUAUCAGUUGCACAGGUGGUGCAUGGUUGUCGUCAGCUCGUGUCGUGAGAUGUUGGGUUAAGUCCCGCAACGAGCGCAACCCUUAUUGUUAGUUACCAGCACGUAAUGGUGGGGACUUUA